rnacentral:ncRNA from 1 species
CUUCAGGUGCCCUCCAUCUCGAGGAGGGUGAAACUGGGAAGCCGGUGCGUCUGCCAGAUCAGACAAUUCCGGCGCUGCCCCCGCAACGGUAAGCGACGUCCGCCAACAUGGCGAGACACCUGAAAUACGCCACUGUGCUGAAUGCAUGGGAAGGCUCAGGUAGUCGGACUCACGUCCAGUCGCAAGCCCGGAGACCGGCCUGAUGCUA